rnacentral:rRNA from 2 species
AGGCCCUUCGGGGUACUCGAGCGGCGAACGGGUGAGUAACACGUGAGUAACCUGCCCUAGGCUUUGGGAUAACCCUCGGAAACGGGGGCUAAUACCGGAUAUGACUGCUGGUCGCAUGACUGGUGGUGGAAAGUUUUUCGGCCUGGGAUGGACUCGCGGCCUAUCAGCUUGUUGGUGGGGUAAUGGCCUACCAAGGCGACGACGGGUAGCCGGCCUGAGAGGGCGACCGGCCACACUGGGACUGAGACACGGCCCAGACUCCUACGGGAGGCAGCAGUGGGGAAUAUUGCACAAUGGGCGGAAGCCUGAUGCAGCGACGCCGCGUGAGGGAUGACGGCCUUCGGGUUGUAAACCUCUUUCAGCAGGGACGAAGCGAGAGUGACGGUACCUGCAGAAGAAGCACCGGCCAACUACGUGCCAGCAGCCGCGGUAAGACGUAGGGUGCGAGCGUUGUCCGGAUUUAUUGGGCGUAAAGAGCUCGUAGGCGGCUUGUCGCGUCGACUGUGAAAACCCGCGGCUCAACCGCGGGCUUGCAGCCGAUACGGGCAGGCUAGAGUUCGGUAGGGGAGACUGGAAUUCCUGGUGUAGCGGUGAAAUGCGCAGAUAUCAGGAGGAACACCGGUGGCGAAGGCGGGUCUCUGGGCCGAUACUGACGCUGAGGAGCGAAAGCGUGGGGAGCGAACAGGAUUAGAUACCCUGGUAGUCCACGCUGUAAACGUU